rnacentral:rRNA from 1 species
UACCAGCACCCCGAGUGGUCGGGACGAUUAUUGGGCCUGAAGCAUCCGUAGCCGGUCUUACAAGUCCUCCGUUAAAUCCAGCUGCUUAACAGAUGGGCUGCGGAGGAUACUAUAAGACUAGGAGGCAGGAGAGGCAAGCGGUACUCAGUGGGUAGGGGUAAAAUCCGUUGAUCCAUUGAAGACCACCAGUGGCGAAGGCGGCUUGCCAGAAUGCGCUCGACGGUGAGGGAUGAAAGCUGGGGGAGCAAACCGG